rnacentral:rRNA from 1 species
UACGUAGGGGGCUAGCGUUGUCCGGAAUCAUUGGGCGUAAAGCGCGUGUAGGCGGCCCGGUAAGUCCGCUGUGAAAGUCGGGGGCUCAACCCUCGGAUGCCGGUGGAUACUGUCGGGCUUGAGUACGGAAGAGGCGAGUGGAAUUCCUGGUGUAGCGGUGAAAUGCGCAGAUAUCGGGAGGAACACCAGUAGCGAAGGCGGCUCGCUGGGCCACACCUGACGCUGAGACGCGAAAGCUAGGGGAGCGAACAGG